GGAGAUUUUAUUAUGUAUAAGAGGAAAGCCAAUAAAAGAUGUGUUUACAUGUCUGAAUUUAUAUAGAUACUCACAUGUUUGUAAACUGGUAUUAAAUCAUUGCUCUUAACACACAAAGGGACUUCAUAAUUUAGGGAUGUGUCAAGCCAAAGAUUUUAAAAGUACUCUUGCAAAAUAGAAGAUUUUCCCCCAGAGAAAAACAAGCAUGAAAGAACCUCUCAAUGAACUGGGGCUUGACUACUAAGAACAAGACAAUUCUCUGAACCCCAGAGCUGGCAGGAGGCUUCUUGUGAGCAAGAUUGAUCAAAAUACCUCUCUUCUGCCAGCAAUUACUGACAAGAAAAGCAGUUAGGUUUCAAAUUGUCCUUGCAGCAACCAGCAACAUAUUUAGACAUGAUACCUUUUCCCAUCCGACAGUUUUGGUAGUCAAAUUUUUCUUAGACUGAAAUUUCAAUCAUAGCUUUCCUUCACAUUGACUUCAU
rnacentral:lncRNA from 1 species